rnacentral:lncRNA from 1 species
AUUGUGAACUCCAGCUUGCAAAGCCAGCCAGGAAAGUGCACUGAUGGACUGAAAAGCACAUGGCACUGGGAUAAAGAUUAAGAGGAAGCACUAGGGUUUCCAGAUGAGUCACUGGACUUUAGGAAACAGAAAAAACAGAGUGCCAGCUCCCUCCUGUGCCAGCACCACAGUGACAAUAUGAGAUAUCGCAUCUAAAGAAGCACAGCCAAAUAUUUGAUUUGGACGAUUACACUGAAGAAGCCUCAUCACAACUGUGGGUGCCCAGAUUACCAACUCCCUGCUCUUGGCUCCGGUACAUCUCACAGUGGAUGGUCAGUCCUUCAGCUUCCUGGUGGAAAGGACCUGUCUGGGAAGAACCUGUUUUGCUCUUUCUAACACUUUGCUAUUCUGGUGUGUUGAGCUGACUGAAGCACAAAUAAAGCCAUUAUGCA